rnacentral:rRNA from 1 species
GAUGAACGCUGGCGGCGUGCCUAAUACAUGCAAGUCGAGCGAACGGACGAGAAGCUUGCUUCUCUGAUGUUAGCGGGGGACGGGUGAGUAACACGUGGAUAACCUACCUAUAAGACUGGGAUAACUUCGGGAAACCGGAGCUAAUACCGCAUAAUAUUUCGAACCGCAUGGUUCAAAAGUGAAAGACGGUCUUGCUGUCUCUUAUAGAUUGAUCCGCGCUGCAUUAGCUAGUUGGUAAGGUAACGGCUUACCAAGGCAACGAUGCAUAGCCGACCUGAGAGGGUGAUCGGCCACACUGGAACUGAGACACGGUCCAGACUCCUACGGGAGGCAGCAGUAGGGAAUCUUCCGCAAUGGGCGAAAGCCUGACGGAGCAACGCCGCGUGAGUGAUGAAGGUCUUCGGAUCGUAAAACUCUGUUAUUAGGGAAGAACAAAUGUGUAAGUAACUGUGCACAUCUUGACGGUACCUAAUCAGAAAGCCACGGCUAACUACGUG